GAAAGUGUAGCUCAGUGGUAGAGUGUGUGCUUAAUAUGCACGAGGCUUUGGGUUCUAUCCCAGCACCA
rnacentral:tRNA from 1 species